UACGUAGGUGGCAAGCGUUGUCCGGAAUUACUGGGCGUAAAGGGCGCGUAGGCGGGAUGGCAAGUCGGUCGUGAAAUCCCUCGGCUCAACCGAGGAACGUCGAUCGAUACUGCUGUUCUUGAGGAUUGCAGAGGAGACUGGAAUUCCCGGUGUAGCGGUGAAAUGCGCAGAUAUCAGGAGGAACACCAAUUGCGAAGGCAGCUCGCUGGGACGUAACUGACGCUGAGACGCGAAAGCGUGGGGAGCAAACAGG
rnacentral:rRNA from 1 species